ACUCCUACGGGAGGCAGCAGUGGGGAAUAUUGCACAAUGGGCGGAAGCCUGAUGCAGCAACGCCGCGUGCGGGAUGACGGCCUUCGGGUUGUAAACCGCUUUCGCCUGUGACGAAGCGUGAGUGACGGUAAUGGGUAAAGAAGCACCGGCUAACUACGUGCCAGCAGCCGCGGUGAUACGUAGGGUGCGAGCGUUGUCCGGAUUUAUUGGGCGUAAAGGGCUCGUAGGUGGUUGAUCGCGUCGGAAGUGUAAUCUUGGGGCUUAACCCUGAGCGUGCUUUCGAUACGGGUUGACUUGAGGAAGGUAGGGGAGAAUGGAAUUCCUGGUGGAGCGGUGGAAUGCGCAGAUAUCAGGAGGAACACCAGUGGCGAAGGCGGUUCUCUGGGCCUUUCCUGACGCUGAGGAGCGAAAGCGUGGGGAGCGAACAGGCUUAGAUACCCU
rnacentral:rRNA from 1 species